UACGUAGGGGGCAAGCGUUGUCCGGAAUCAUUGGGCGUAAAGAGCGUGUAGGCGGCCCGGUAAGUCCGCUGUGAAAGUCCAGGGCUCAACCCUGGGAUGCCGGUGGAUACUGUCGGGCUCGAGUCCGGAAGAGGAGUGUGGAAUUCCUGGUGUAGCGGUGAAAUGCGCAGAUAUCGGGAGGAACACCAAUGGCGAAGGCAGCUCGCUGGGACGGUACUGACGCUGAGACGCGAAAGCGUGGGGAGCAAACAGG
rnacentral:rRNA from 1 species